GGGACAUUAUCCUUUAAAUAGACUGGACUAGAUAUGCCUUGCGCACACCACCUUACGACUUUAUAGACGAAUCUAUGUCUGAAUUAUUUUCUUGCUAGAAAUUUAUGCUCGAUCGAGCUUCUUCCGCCAGACGAUUUUUCCUGGUGAUGUCAUAACCCGGAAGUACAAUGCCCGAGGUUCACUUGUCUUCACUCGCCUGGAUGUGAUAUUCCCAGCGCAGAGCUUUCGUCCCAUGGUUGUGCCGUAAACCGCAAAGACGAUGAUUUUUUGUUAUCCUCUGAAGUCAGCUCAGGGAUGCAAUCACCUACCACCAUAGGGAGCCAACACGGAAUCAACGUAUUCACGGUUUAAAGGGACUGAAUUUAGAGAUCUGUUUUGUUUGUGCUACUUAAAGUUCACAAUUACAUUAAAGACCUGUGUCACGUCAGAUUAGAAUGGACUAUAAGAACUUUUGUAUCUAGAGAUACUGAAAUUUUUUUUUUCUUUCUGAUAAUCAGUUUUUUUUUCUUUUCAUAUCUAUUCAUUGUUAAUAAUCAUCUUUUGUAAAUAAAUUUGUAAAUAUUGUAAA